rnacentral:rRNA from 1 species
AUUGAACGCUGGCGGCAGGCCUAACACAUGCAAGUCGAACGGUAACAGGAAGCAGCUUGCUGCUUCGCUGACGAGUGGCGGACGGGUGAGUAAUGUCUGGGAAACUGCCUGAUGGAGGGGGAUAACUACUGGAAACGGUAGCUAAUACCGCAUAGCGUCGCAAGACCAAAGAGGGGGACCUUAGGGCCUCUUGCCAUCGGAUGUGCCCAGAUGGGAUUAGCUAGUAGGUGGGGUAACGGCUCACCUAGGCGACGAUCCCUAGCUGGUCUGAGAGGAUGACCAGCCACACUGGAACUGAGACACGGGCCAGACUCCUACGGGAGGCAGCAGUGGGGAAUAUUGGACAAUGGGCGCAAGCCUGAUGCAGCCAUGCCGCGUGUAUGAAGAAGGCCUUCGGGUUGUAAAGUACUUUCAGCGGGGAGGAAGGGAGUAAAGUUAAUACCUUGGCUCAUUGACGUUACCCGCAGAAGAAGCACCGGCUAACUCCGUG